GACGAACGCUGGCGGCGUGCUUAACACAUGCAAGUCGAACGGAAAGGCCCUGCUUUUGUGGGGUGCUCGAGUGGCGAACGGGUGAGUAACACGUGAGUAACCUGCCCUUGACUUUGGGAUGACUUCAGGAAACUGGGGCUAAUACCGGAUAGGAGCUCCUGCUGCAUGGUGGGGGUUGGAAAGUUUCGGCGGUUGGGGAUGGACUCGCGGCUUAUCAGCUUGUUGGUGGGGUAGUGGCUUACCAAGGCUUUGACGGGUAGCCGGCCUGAGAGGGUGACCGGCCACAUUGGGACUGAGAUACGGCCCAGACUCCUACGGGAGGCAGCAGUGGGGGAUAUUGCACCAUGGGCGGAAGCCCGAUGCAGCAACGCCGCGUGCGGGAUGACGGCCUUCGGGUUGUAAACCGCUUUCGCCUGUGACGAAGCGUGAGUGACGGUAAUGGGUAAAGAAGCACCGGCUAACUACGUG
rnacentral:rRNA from 1 species